rnacentral:rRNA from 1 species
UACAGAGGUCUCAAGCGUUGUUCGGAUUCAUUUGGGCGUAAAGGGUGCGAGUAGGUGGCGCUGUAAGUCGGGUGUGAAAUUUCGGGAGCUUAAACUUCCGAAACUGCAUUCGAUAACUGCGGUUGCUUGAGGACUGGGAGAGGAGUACUGGAAUUCAUGGUGUAGCAGUGAAAUGCGUAGAGAUCAUGAGGAAGACCAGUG